UACGUAGGGGGCAAGCGUUGUCCGGAUUUAUUGGGCGUAAAGAGCGUGUAGGCGGCCUUCUAAGUCAGACGUGAAAUCCCUCGGCUCAACCGGGGAACUGCGUCUGAGACUGGAGGGCUUGAAUCCGGGAGAGGGAUGUGGAAUUCCAGGUGUAGCGGUGAAAUGCGUAGAUAUCUGGAGGAACACCGGUGGCGAAGGCGGCAUCCUGGACCGGUAUUGACGCUGAGGCGCGAAAGCCAGGGGAGCAAACGGG
rnacentral:rRNA from 1 species